CAGGAAUAGGGCUGUUUACUGAAGACAAGCCACAGAAUAGCGUCUUGACUCGGACCCAGCCAGAGACCCUCCCAGAAAAACAAAGAGAAGCAAGACUUGCCUUUGUCUAAGAAAUCGCUCUCCUCCCGCCUCCAUUGCACUUUCCGUCACGCUCUUCCAGGGAAUGUCGCCAAGCUGAACCUCAGACAGAGCUGGGAAACAGUCUUUUGCCCCACAACCUUUGUAGACGGCCUAGUGAAUAAGCCUUUCCAGAGGCUCAGACUUGCUGGCUCAAAAAUCUGCCUGGGCUCUCAACCGCUGGUUUACCACACUGGAUCCGUGCGUCACCGAGCAUGCACAAUGCCUGUGGUUUAAUUCGCCUUCUUAGUCAACAGCGCCACCAUGCGUUCGCUUGCAGUUACAAAAUCUUGGAGAAGGUGUUUUUAUUUUGCUUUAUCGAUUAUUCUUAUCAACCCUAGUUGACGCUACUGGAGGA
rnacentral:lncRNA from 1 species